rnacentral:tRNA from 1 species
CGGCCGGUUGGCCCAUGAGGGGCUAGCCGCGCUGCUGGCGUGGCGACUCGGUCAGCUACAGCCGGCGACCUUCUCCCUGUCGGUCAAC